rnacentral:rRNA from 1 species
GACGAACGCUGGCGGCGUGCUUAACACAUGCAAGUCGAACGGAAAGGCCCUGCUUUUGUGGGGUGCUCGAGUGGCGAACGGGUGAGUAACACGUGAGUAACCUGCCCUUGACUUUGGGAUAACUUCAGGAAACUGGGGCUAAUACCGGAUAGGAGCUCCUGUUGCAUGGUGGGGGUUGGAAAGUUUCGGCGGUUGGGGAUGGACUCGCGGAUUAUCAGCUUGUUGGUGGGGGAGUGGCUUACCAAGGCUUUGACGGGUAGGCGGCCUGAGAGGGUGACCGGCCACAUUGCGACUGAGAUACGGACCAGACUCCUACGGGAGGCAGCAGUGGGGAAUAUUGCACAAUGGGCGCAAGCCUGAUGCAGCAGCGCCGCGUGCGGGAUGACGGCCUUCGGGUUGUAAACCGCUUUCGCCUGUGACGAAGCGUGAGUGACGGUAAUGGGUAAAGAAGCACCGGCUAACUACGUG